rnacentral:rRNA from 1 species
AUGAUCGGCGAGAUGGACGCGGACAUGGUCGUAGGAUACUUCGGCGGCAAGAGCAUGCUCAUCACCGGUUCAACUGGGUUCUUAGGAAAAGUUCUCGUGGAGAAGAUUCUGAGGGUGCAGCCUGAUGUCAAGAAGCUCUUCCUCUUGGUUCGUGCUCCCGACAUCGAAUCCGCAAAGCUUCGGAUUCAGACUGAGGUCACAGGGAGGGAGAUCUUUCUAGUUCUGAAAGAAAAACAUGGUAUAGGGUUCGACGAUUUUAUCGAAGAAAAGAUCUGCCCUUUGGCAGGAGACAUCAUGUAUGAGAACUUUGGACUAGACACUGCCAACCUGAGAGAAUUGUCCAAGGACAUAGACAUCAUCGUCAACAUAGCUGCCACUACAAACUUCUCUGAAAGAUACGACGUGGCUUUCGAUGCUAAUGUCUUGGGAGCGAAGCACGUCUGUGCGUUCGCGAGGAAGUGUACGAAACUCAAGAUGCUGCUUCAUGUUUCAACUGCCUAUGUAGCUGGUGAACAAGAGGGGCUAAUACUAGAGAAGCCGUUCUUGAUGGGUGAGACACUAAAGGAGGGCACACAUUUGGACAUCAAAUCCGAGCUAAAUCUGAUCAGAGAGACCAGGAGAGAGCUGAAGGCUAACUGUUCUUUGGAGAAGGCUGAGAGGAGAACCAUGAAGGAGCUUGGCCUCAAGAGGGCUCGGCAGUUUGGGUGGCCAAACACAUAUGUCUUCACCAAGGCAAUGGGGGAGAUGCUGCUGGGGCAUCUGCGAGGGGAGCUUCCCGUGGUCAUCCUCCGGCCGAGCAUCAUAACCAGCAUCCUCAAGGAGCCAUUGCCUGGAUGGAUGGAGGGAAUCAGGACGAUCGACGCGGUGGUCAUCGGCUACGCCAAGCAGACCUUGCCAUUCUUCCUGGUCGACCUCAGUUUGAUAAUGGACGUGAUUCCGGGGGACAUGGUGGUGAACGCCAUGAUGGUGGCCAUGGCGGCGCACUCCGAGGAGCGGGCGCAGACCAUCUACCACGUGACGUCGUCGCUGCGCAACCCGGCGCCCUACGCGAUCCUGGCGGACACGGGGCACCGCUACUUCUACGACAACCCGCCGCGCACGGGGAGGAAGGGCGAGCCCGCCCGGCUGAACAAGAUGCGCUUCUUUAGCACGGUGGCGCGGCUGAGCCUGUACAUGGCCGUCAGGUACAGGCUCCCGCUCGAGAUGCUUCGUCUGGUGAACAUUGCGCUCUGCGGCGUCUUCUCGCGGCGCUACGACGACCUCAGCAGGAAGUACAGGUUCAUCGUGCAGCUCAUUGAGCUCUACGCGCCCUACAGCUUGUUCAAAGGAUGCUUUGAUGACAUGAACACGGAGAGGCUAAGGAUGGCGAUGAAGAAGGAGCAAGAUGAGAACGGUGCAGAAGAAUAUUACUUCGAUUUCGAUCCCAAGUCCAUCAACUGGGACAGCUAUUUCUAUGGUGUUCACAUCCCCGGUGUGCUCAAGUACAUGCGUGAUUGA